UACGUAGGGUGCGAGCGUUAAUCGGAAUUACUGGGCGUAAAGCGUGCGCAGGCGGUUUUGCAAGCCGGAUGUGAAAUCCCCGGGCUUAACCUGGGAAUGGCAUUUGGGACUGCAAGGCUGGAGUGCGGCAGAGGAGACUGGAAUUCCUGGUGUAGCAGUGAAAUGCGUAGAUAUCAGGAGGAACACCGAUGGCGAAGGCAGGUCUCUGGGCUGACACUGACGCUCAUGUACGAAAGCGUGGGGAGCAAACAGG
rnacentral:rRNA from 1 species